GAUGAACGCUGGCGGCGUGCCUAAUACAUGCAAGUCGAGCGAACAGAUGAGGAGCUUGCUCCUCUGACGUUAGCGGCGGACGGGUGAGUAACACGUGGAUAACCUACCUAUAAGACUGGGAUAACUUCGGGAAACCGGAGCUAAUACCGGAUAAUAUAUUGAACCGCAUGGUUCAAUAGUGAAAGACGGUUUUGCUGUCACUUAUAGAUGGAUCCGCGCCGCAGUAGCUAGUUGGUAAGGUAACGGCUUACCAAGGCAACGAUGCGUAGCCGAUCUGAGAGGGUGAUCGGCCACACUGGAACUGAGACACGGUCCAGACUCCUACGGGAGGCAGCAGUAGGGAAUCUUCCGCAAUGGGCGAAAGCCUGACGGAGCAACGCCGCGUGAGUGAUGAAGGUCUUCGGAUCGUAAAACUCUGUUAUUAGGGAAGAACAAAUGUGUAAGUAACUAUGCACGUCUUGACGGUACCUAAUCAGAAAGCCACGGCUAACUACGUG
rnacentral:rRNA from 1 species